AACGAACGCUGGCGGCAUGCCUAACACAUGCCAGUCGAACGAGACCUUCGGGUCUAGUGGCGCACGGGUGCGUAACGCGUGGGAACCUGCCCUUAGGUUCGGAAUAACUCCCCGAAAGGGGUGCUAAUACCGGAUAAUGUCUUCGGACCAAAGAUUUAUCGCCUUUGGAUGGGCCCGCGUUGGAUUAGCUAGUUGGUAGGGUAAAAGCCUACCAAGGCGACGAUCCAUAGCUGGUCUGAGAGGAUGGUCAGCCACACUGGGACUGAGACACGGCCCAGACUCCUACGGGAGGGAGCAAUGGGGAAUGGUGGACCAUGGGCGAAAGCCUGAUCCAGCAAUGCCGCGUGAGUGAUGAAGGCCUUAGGGUUGUAAAGCUCUUUUACCCGGGAUGAUAAUGACAGUACCGGGAGAAUAAGCUCCGGCUAACUCCGUG
rnacentral:rRNA from 1 species